CCUACGGGAGGCAGCAGUGGGGAAUUUUCCGCAAUGGGCGAAAGCCUGACGGAGCAAUACCGCGUGAGGGAAGAAAGCCUACUGGGUUGUAAACCUCUUUUUUCAGGGAGGAAAAAAAUGACGUGUACCUGAAGAAUAAGCAUCGGCUAACUCCGUGCCAGCAGCCGCGGUAAGACGGAGGAUGCAAGUGUUAUCCGGAAUUACUGGGCGUAAAGCGUCUGUAGGUGGUUUAAUAAGUCAACUGUUAAAUCUUGAGGCUUAACUUCAAAACAGCAGUCGAAACUAUUAGACUAGAGUAUAGUAGGGGUAAAGGGAAUUUCCAGUGGAGCGGUGAAAUGCGUAGAUAUUGGAAAGAACACCGAUGGCGAAAGCACUUUACUGGGCUAUUACUAACACUCAGAGACGAAAGCUAGGGUAGCAAAUGGGAUUAGAUACCCCGGUAGUCCUAGCUGUAAACAAUGGAUACUAGAUGUUGAACAGAUCGACCUGUGCAGUAUUAAAGCUAACGCGUUAAGUAUCCCGCCUGGGAAGUAUGCUCGCAAGAGUGAAACUCAAAGGAAUUGACGG
rnacentral:rRNA from 1 species